CCAAUAGCGUAUAUUAAAGUUGCUGCAGUUAAAAAGCUCGCAGUUGAAUUUCGGGACCAUCAUGUCGGUCGUGCCUCGGUACGUACUGGCAUUGUUGGUUUCUCCCUUCUGAAGAACCAUGAUGUCAUUAAUUUGGUGUCUUGGGGAAUCAGGACUGUUACUUUGAAAAAAUUAGAGUGUUUAAAGCAGGCUCACGCUUGAUUACAUUAGCAUGGAAUAAUGAAAUAGGACGUUUGAUUCUAUUUUGUUGGUUUCUAGGAUCGACGUAAUGAUUAAUAGGGAUAGUUGGGGGCAUUAGUAUUCAAUUGUCAGAGGUGAAAUUCUUGGAUUUAUUGAAGACUAACUACUGCGAAAGCAUUUGCCAAGGAUGUUUUCAUUAAUCAAGAACGAAAGUUAGGGGAUCGAAGACGAUCAGAUACCGUCGUAGUCUUAACCAUAAACUAUGCCGACUAGGGAUCGGAUGAUGUUAAUUUUUUAAUGACUCAUUCGGCGCCUUACG
rnacentral:rRNA from 1 species